CAAACAUAACACUUUAAACAUAUGUAAAAUACAGGAGAAGUGAAAAGCCAGAGAUUAUUUAUAAAUAGAAAUGUAUAUUGCAUUAGCUUGCAGAUGAACGCUUAAUAAUAUUACUUCAAAUUAAUAAUGAUUACGUGCAGCACUAUGAAUGACAGAUCUAAUCAAUACCAUUUCCAGUACCUUUGACAUGCAGUUUUCUCAUCAGCUCCUGGUAAGCUCUAAUUGAGUCACUGCUGCCCAGUUCCAUGAGAACACAGGCCUAACUAGUUUCCUUUUCUUUACAUACUUUGCAUAUCUACGCAUUUGGAUAUUUCACAAUUGCAACAAGAGCAUCAACUCAAUUAGUUUCUAUGGGAUAAUCACUUGCUUAGCUUUGGCCUCAUGCCUUAAAACACUCUUGUAAUAAUGACCCAGAAAUAUACAGCCUACCUGGGCUCACUGCUCGAGGACACCACAGCACAAUGGCAGCAUUCAGUAUCACUUCAGACUAUAGUCUGCAAGCCAUUCUUAAAGCACUUGUAGCUUGCUAAAAUAAUAGCUUGCUUAUUGUGACAAGUUGCAAACUGACUUAUCACAUUUCAAACAGCUCCAUCCUGUGCUAUCCAAAAUUAUGUCCUUGACAGGUUGGUUGUAACACUCAGUUGGUUAUGACACCCAGAACCUUGCAAAACAGACUAAGGACUACUGAAUUCUGUUAAACCUCAGGCAAUGUUUCCAAACUCAUAUACUCAAAACCUGUGAGUAAAGAGACAGUAAAGCAUAGAGGGAUUCCUCAUUUACUUCUCAGAGGCACGACCUUGGAGUUGUUCCUUCUGCCUUUGCACACAUCCCGGUUAGAUGUCAAGCUGCCCCCCAGAAUCAUCACAGCUACAGAUUUCUAUACCUUAGGAAAGCUCUGCAUAUCUACAAGACUCAGAUGUAGGACUUUCAAAAAGCCAUGAACACUGUUCCACUUGAAAAUGCUGCUUGCAGCAUCAGCUUUCACAUCUAUACUGUGACAGUACAAAGUACAAAACCGCACCAAAAUAAAAUAAAAUCUGAUUUGUACAAUAGUAAUGUGCAAGUAUAGAAUCAUAGAAUCAUAGUAUAGCCUGGGUUGAAAAGGACCAACAAUGCUCAUCCAGUUCCAACCCCCUGCUAUGUGCAGGGUCGCCAACCAGCAGACCAGGCUGCCCAGAGCCACAUCCAGCCUGGCCUUGAAUGCCUGCAGGGAUGGGGCAUCCACAGCCUCCUUGGGCAACCUGUUCCAGUGCUUAUAGAAAUAUAGAAAUAUAAACCUUACCCCGGUAGCUUCCAACAACUUAUUUGAGUUGAUUCUAAUUAAGUUUUUAUUUUAUUUUAGCAGGAAGAGAGGUAACCGUAAAACUUUUUAGUAUAUAAGUAAUUAAAACUGGAAACGUAUCUUCUGGUUGGAAAUGAAAUAAAUCACGGCCGCCGGGCACACGUAGCAGCUGGCUCUAAGAGAGCCUCUCGCCUUCCCCCGAGCACCUUCGCAGUGGAAUGUAUUUCCCCUUCGGCCAAAGGGGGGAGAAACGCGGCCAUGAGCGUUCUACCCAAAUAUAUUUUCUUACUGCAACUGCGGUAAAGCAGAGCUUCCGAGUGCCCGUGCGCCGAGGAGGGCUCGUCGUUCGGGAGUGCAGGGAGUGCUCCGUGGGGGUACCCGCAGCGGCUGCCCGGGGCCGCCGGGUGGGAACCUUCCGCAUCCACCGACACGAGAAUGAAUAUUAAAAAGGCAAUAAAAAUAAAAGGAGAGAGGGAAAGCCGGCAGCUCGCCGGGUCGGGGGCUGCCGUUCCCCACGGCGGCCGUGGGAAAAGAGAAGGAGGGACGAAGGAACGGAGCCGGCCCCGGCGCUGCGCUGCGCGGAGCGAGAGCUCUCCCCUGUGCCCGAGCGGCACAUCUCCGCGCCGCGCCGCGCACCGCCCCGCUCUGCCCAUCCGCUGCGCUCCGCGCCGGGACCCCAAAGGGAGGCGAGGGGGGACCCGGGGGCGGCUCCUCCGGCCCUCCCUCCGCUCUUCCCCGUGGGGCUGCCGAGCUCUGUGCGGGGUCCGGACGGAGCGGGGCCGGCCGGUGCUCAGCGGCGGAGCUCAGCUUCGUAACAGCUGUGCGAAAAGGGUGCGCGGCCCAAACCCCCCCCAUCCUCCCCCCCAGCACCCCCAGCCGGACGGACCGCCGC
rnacentral:lncRNA from 1 species